rnacentral:lncRNA from 1 species
AAAUGGCUAGACCGAAUGAUCCAUUUUGGGAUCGUGUUGAGAAGCUGGAUGAUGGUCGUUUCAACUGUAAAUUUUGUGGCUAUAAAUUUGCUGCUGCUACUUCCGUUACGAGGAUCAAAUGGCAUUUGUCUGGAGUCCAAGGGCGUGGUGUUGCAAUUUGUAGACAAGUGCCUGAAGACGUUCAAGAAGCAGCUUUUCAAGCUGUGCAUAGUGGCAACAAAAGACAUAAAGGCAUAGCAAGUUCAAGCAAUUUUAAUGAUAAUGCCAUUUCAACCACUCCACAAGAACAAAACAAUGAAGUCGACAAUUUGGCAGGAGAUGGAGGAACGACACAAGCAGCGGAUAGAAUGGGUCACCCACUUGGAAGAAGAGUGGAAGAGUUCAGUAGAUGGUUAAUGGAGGAUGAUAUAGAGAAUGGGACUGGAGGAGUAGCGCAGCCGGGUGCAGGAGCUAGCUCUUCUGGAGGGCUUACAGGCAACACAAAUGAGACUCCAGGAGAUCCAUUACCUGCUAGCUUACAUGUUGAAGUCGACAAUGUGGCACCACAAGGGCAACAUCUGGAGAGAGUAACUGGGCAGCCUGUUGUAAGAGGUAGUUCUCAUGAGAGGCCAAUUGUUAAUCACGAUGAGCCUCAAGAAGAUCAACUCUGUCCUCCACUAGUGAACAUGGUUGGAAAUUUUCCGCUUGAUAGGGUUUCUAGUUUUCCUAGAGACCUGAUCCCUGGUGAACAAGUGGAGCAAGAGUGUGAAAGAAAUGCUCAGGAGAACUUACCUUUGUCCGUGGAAGAUCAUAGGAUUGAGGGCACGUUCAUGGAAUCGAGCCAGCUUCCUGUGAGAGGUGGCUCUCCUGAGAGGCUUACAGUUAAUGAAGAUGAGCCUAGAGGAGAUUUGUCCCAACCAACAGAUCCACUGUGUUUUGGCCUUGAAAGGCAUUAUGAUCAACCAUCUUCUUCCUCAGUCAACAAUGAUGUCAUGAUGAUUGAUGUGGAGAAUAUGAUUAGAGAACAUUUGCAGCCUGUUGUGAGAGAUAGCUCUCGUGAAGGUCUUCAACCUGUUGGCGAUGAGAGCGGACGAGAUGUGUUUCUAACUGAAGAACUAAUAGGUGGAGAGUUUGAAAAUAAUAAGAAUGCUAUCCGUCGUGGAUAAUGAAUGAUAUUGAAGCCUCAUCAAGAUUGGCAUUUACGGGAUGGGGGGUGUGGGCAAAACAACAUUGCUCACACAUAUCUACAAUCAGCUUCUACAAGAACGUGGCACUUUUCCUCAUGUUCACUGGAUCACGGUAUCGCAGGAUUUUAGUGUUUAUAAAUUGCAGAAUCUUAUUGCAAAAACUUCAUUUAGAUCUUUCAAAUGAAGACAACGAGAGGAAAAGGGCUGCAAAACUGUCAAAAGCAUUAAUUGAGAAACAACGGUGGGUUCUCAUCUUAGAUGAUUUGUGGGACUGUUUUGAUUAUAAUAAGGUGGGAAUUCCUAUCAAAGUGAAGGGAUGCAAACUAGUUCUGCCAGAAGACAAUCAAAGUGGAGCCUCUUUCAAUGGAAGAAGCUUGGGCUCUGUUCAUGAAGGUACUUGGAUGUAUUCCUCCAGAAGUGGAAGAAAUUGCAAGAUCUAUUGCAAGUGAAUGUGCUGGUUUGCCUCUUGGAAUUAUAACAAUGGCCGGAACCAUGAGGGAGUGGAUGACAGAUGUGAGUGGAGGAAUGCUUUAGAGGACCUGAAACAAUCAAGAAUAGGAAAGAUGAUAUGGAGCCUGAGGUAUUCCAUACUGAGAUUUAGUUUUAUGCACUUAAAGGAGUCAGAACUGCAACAAUGCUUCUUGUAUGUGCAUUAUUCCCGGAAGACUUCAAGAUCCGUAGAGAGGAUUUGAUAGCUUAUUUGAUUGACGAGGGAGUGAUAAAAGGGCUGAAGAGUAGGGAGGCAGAAUUUAACAAAGGCCACUCGAUGCUGAAUAAACUCGAAAGAGUCUGCCUAUUGGAAAGUAAAAUGAAGUAAAGAUGAUGGAUCAAGAUGCAUGACUUGAUUAGGGAUAUGGCCAUCCAAAUACUACAAGAGAACUCUCAAGGCAUGGUUAAAGCAGGUGCAGUUAAGAGAAUUGCCGGGUGCAGAGGAGUGGACAGAGAAUCUUACUAAGUUUCACUGAUGCAUAACCAAAUUAAAGAAAUUCCUUCCAGCCAUUCACCGAGGUGUCCCAGUCUUUCAACUCUAUUGUAUGUAGAAAUCAGAGUUGCAAUUUAUUGCAGAUUCAUUUUUUGAGCAGUUGCAUGGCUCAAGGUUCUUGAUCUGUCUUAUACAGUAUCACAAAACUACCUGAUUCUGUCUCUGAAUUGGUGAGUCUCACUGCAUUAUGCUCAUUGAUUGUAAUGUUAAGGCAUGUACCAUCAUUAGAAAAGCUCAGGGCACUGAAGAGGUUAGAUCUCUCUUACUUGGGCACUUGAAAAGAUUCCUCAAGGCAUGGAAUGUCUAUGCAACCUGAGGUAUCUUAGAAUGAUGGGAUGUGGUGAAAAGGAGUUUCCUAGUGGGUUGUUACCUAAGCUCUCUCACCUUCAAGUCUUUGUAUUGGAGUGGAUUCCUAGAACUAAUAAUAGAAAAGCAGAAUAUGUUCCGAUAACAGUUAAAGGUAAGGAAGUGGCAUGCUUGAGGAAGUUGGAACGUUUGGAAUGCUAUUUUGAAGGUUACUCAGACUACGUGGAGUAUCUCAAAUCUCGGGAUGAAACCAAAUCACUAACCACAUACAAAAUUUUUGCAGGGCCACUGGAUAAUUAUGAUUAUGAUUAUUAUUAUGAUUAUGAUGUUUCCAGAAGGAAAACAAUUGUUUGGGGUAACUUGAGUAUCGACAGAGAUGGAGGUUUUCAGGUCAUGUUUCCAAAGGACAUUCAACGAUUGGACAUUGAUGGUUAUGAUGAUGCAACAAGUUUAUGCGAUUUUUUAUCUCUAAUAAAGAAUGCAACUGAACUGGAGGCUAUCAGGAUUGUUAGUUGCAAUAGCAUGGAGAGCUUGGUUUCAUCUUCUUGGUUCCGCUCUGCUCCACUACCAUCUCCAUCUUACAACGGUAUAUUUUCUGGUCUUAAGAAGUUCUUUUGCUUUGGAUGUAGUAGUAUGAAGAAGUUGUUCCCUCUUGUCCUGCUGCCAAACCUUGUAAAAUUAGAAGAGAUUAUAGUUGAAGGUUGUGAGAAGAUGGAGGAGAUAAUAGGUGGAACAAGACCAGAUGAAGAGGGGGUUAUGGGUGAAGAAACUAGCAACGGCAAUAUCGAAUUCAAAUUCCCAAAGUUAAGAAAUAUGGAAUUGAGAGGAUUACCAGAACUGAAAAGCAUUUGUAGUGCAAAAUUAAUUUGCGAUUCUAUCGAAGUAAUUGAAGUAAGAAAUUGCGAGAAGAUAGAGGAGAUAAUAAGUGGAACAAGAUCAGAUAAAGAAGGGGUUAAGGGUGAAGAAAGCAACAGCUGUAGCAUCACCGAUCUCAAACUCACAAAAUUAAGGGAUCUAGGAUUGAUUGGUUUACCAGAACUCAGAAGCAUUUGUAGUGCAAAACUGAUUUGCGGUUCUCUCCGAACAAUUGAAGUAUGGAAUUGUGAGAAGCUGAAAAGGAUGCCAAUUUGUCUUUCGUUGCUUGAAAAUGGCGAGCCAUCUCCUCUCCCUUCUCUUGAAUACAUAAGGGUAUAUCCAGAAAAAUGGUGGGAGUCAGUAGUGGAGUGGGAGCAUCCUAACGCUAAGGAUGUCCUUCGUCCCUUUGUGAGUAUUUCGUCGGAGCAUGAGUAUUGAUGAUAGUGACCUUAAUAUAAUAUUAAAUUAAGAGUAAGCAUUGUUGUUUUAAUUGGAUUAAGCUUAAGCUACGUGUCUAGUUACUUAAUGACUGAUGUGUUUAUUAUAUUAAUAGGUUUUACCUGGAAGACAUUUAUUGAAUCGAAUCAUCGCGUAUUCUGUUCUUGAUCUGUAUCUUUCUUGCUUGAAAGGUAAAUCCUACUUUCUUUUCUUGUUUUUCUACCACUAAUUUUGUUUCAAAUAAGAUUUGCCCAUUUGGUUGUAGAAUUAUUAAGUAGGAUUGUAGAUUGAUCAAUCAAGUAGAACUUAAUUAUAUAUGUGUUGCUUGAUCUAUUUUAGAACUCAAAACUCAUAUUUAGCUUUGUUCUUACAUAUUGCCAUCAGCUUCAACUACUUGUCUUAAAAGCAGCUGCUCUCAAGGUUUCUUUUGUCUGUUGAGUGCCUCUUGUCAGCUUGACAGGUGACUAGUAAGUUUCACUACUCUUUCUCAAAUUCUUGCGCUUACAUUUUCAGAUCAGCUUUUCCGGCAUUUCAACAUUGAGGUGCGUCCACACGUUAACUCACUCAGCAAUUAGCUUCAGAUUCUUUUGAAUCCUGGUACAGUAUUUAUACUUCAUCUUCUUCAUUUUGUUGCUGUUAUCGUUUUUGACAUGUAACUAUUGUUUGAAUCCUUUUUCUGUAGACUUGAACUGUAAGUUUGGUGUUUUAAUAGUUUGACAUGUAACUAUUGUAGAAAUUUUAUUGAGAAACUUUGGAGUUAGGAUCAUCAAUGGUUUCCAAAUAUAAAUAAAUUGAUCUUUCUUUGUUUUUAUAAUCCUUGCCUUAAGGAGUUCAUACCAAAUUCAUUGUUUUUUCUUUUUAUUUAUUCUAGUCUCAACCUUUCCUUUUCCAAUUAAUUUUAUUCAAUAUUUUGACUCUGUUUUAUAUAUAGGGCAAAAUGGUUCAAUCAACUGACCCAUUUUGGCACCAUGUUGAGGAGAUGAAGUGUAUGUAUUGCGGGCGUCAAUUUCCUAACGAUACUUCCAUUUCAAGGAUCAAAUGGCAUUUAUCGGGAGAGAAAGGGUGUGGUGUUGCUAUUUGUGAAAGAGUUCCUAAACAAGUUCAAGAAGCAGCUUUUCUAGCUAUGCAUGGUGCCAACAAAAGACAUAAAAGCAUAGCAAGUUCAAGCAAUGUUAAUGAUAAUGCCAUUUCCACCACUCCACAAGAACAAAACAAUGAAGUCGACAAUUUGGCAGGAGAUGCAGGAACAAUACAAGCACCAGAUACAAUGUGGGGUCAAGCACUUGAAAGAUUUUUGGAAGAGAUCAAUAAUGUAAUGACGGAUGCAGGAACGACACAAGCAGCGGAUAGAAUGGGUCACCCACUUGGAAGAAGUGUGGAAGAGUUCAGUAGAUGGUUAAUGGAGGAUGAUAUAGAGAAUGGGACUGGAGGAGUAGCGCAGCCGGGUACAGGAGCUAGCUCUUCUGGAGGGCUUACAGGCAACACAAAUGAGACUCCAGGAGAUCCAUUACCUGCUAGCUUACAUGUUGAAGUCGACAAUGUGGCACCACAAGGGCAACAUCUGGAGAGAGUAACUGGGCAGCCUGUUGUAAGAGGUAGUUCUCAUGAGAGGCCACUUGUUAAUCACGAUGAGCCUCAAGAAGAUCAACUUUGUCCUCCACUAGUGAACAUGGUUGGAAAUUUUCCGCUUGAUCCCUGGUGAACAUUUUCCGCAACACAAAUGAGAUUCCGGGUUCGGCUGUUGAUGGAAAUGAAGCCUUGGAUAUAUUGAGAUUCAGUUUUGAUCACCUGUCAUCUCCAUCACUGAAAAAAUGUUUUGCAUACUGUUCCAUUUUUCCUAAAGAUUUUGAAAUUGAAAGGGAAGAGCUAAUUCAACUUUGGAUUUGUGAAGGUUUUCUUGGGCCAUCAAAUCAGAGGAUGGAAGACAUGGGCAACAAGUAUUUCAAUGACUAGCUUGCAAAUUCCCUUUUUCAAGAUGUUGAAAGGAAUGAGUAUGGGAUGGUAACAAGUUGCAAGAUGCAUGAUCUUGCAUUACAGGUCUCAAAAGCAGAAACGUUAAACAGCUACAAUCGGAGGUGGUGAUACAAUUAAUCAGAAUUAGUUUAUUGGAACAGAUGAAGAAGAUUUAACUAAGAAUGUGAAAAGUUUUAAAUAUCACGGAGCAAUUAUUAAUAUUAAUUAAAAAAAAAAAACUGAUUGCCAUGGUAAAAUUCUUGUAGCACUGGGACACAUUGUAAUGUUCAUCAUAAUACUGUAAUUAUUUUUUUUAUCCUCCUAGCAAAAAUACUUAAGCUUGCUCUGGAGGUAUUUUUGUCUUCUUUUAUUUGACAAAUUCGUCAUUGUGUUAUUGACUGGGGAACAAAAAUACUUAAGCUGUCUUUUAAACCUUUAAUUGUUAUUAUUACGAGUUGAUUCAUAAAAUUAUAUUAUGAGCCAAUACAUAUUUAAUAUAUAAAAUUAUUUUAAAAACUCGAAAACAUAUAAAAUUAAAUCAGGUAAAAUAAAGUGAAAUCACGAGUUUGAAACCAUUUUUACGAAUUUAAUAAAAACAAAUACAUUGCUGCAGUGCCGUACAUUAGAUAUUUAGAUCUGGAUGGACGGUGAGGAUGCAAUGCACCUUGGUCUAGGUGGGGUCCAAAGUAAGAGUUUUGAAAAUAACAUUAAUGAUUUUUGGAGUAUAGUUAAAGAUAAUUGCAGAUGUUGCUGGCAUGUUUGUUUUAAGAUAUGUUUUGCAAGGUUGUGCAAUUAUAUUUUGUAAAAUUUGAAAAAAAUUAAAUAAUUUUUUUAUAUUUUUAAAUCUGAUAUAUUAAUAUUAAAAAUAAUUUUUUUAAAAUAAAAUAAAUUUUAAAAAAAAAACAAUCAUUAUCAUUUUUUUAAAUAUCUUUGAAAAAACAUCUUUAUUUUACACAUAGCUGGCUCGGUCAACAGCUGGCUCAAGUGAACUGAAAACCAUGUAUUUUAUAAUGUUUUGCACUUUGCCUUGUUCAUAAAUUGAUAGAAAAUAAUAGUAAUAUAACGUCUGCGUGUAUACUCGCCGUUACUGAUCCAUUUGGCAUUUUAAAGCUUUAUACCUAACUUAACGGAAUUGUAUCAUGACCAUAUUCAUGUCUGCUAUGAGAAGUACAAGUUGGAGCUUUUUGGCCACUCACAGACAAGGUUUGUUUGUCAUGGAUGAGUUUUUUGAAUUAAUUACAUGAUUGAUUUAAAUUUAUUUUUGAAUUAUUAAACAUAUGUCAUUUAAAAAAAAAUUCUUAUAAUUUUAUGAUUUUACUAUUUAUUUUUACAAUCUAAAUUUAUAUUUAAAUUUUUAUAUUGUGUAAAAAACUUUAAUAGCGUUCAAAGGAGGACGCCUUCAUCUUCUCAAUGGUGUUACGCAUGCCUGCGACAGAUGUUUGGUUUGGCCUCUACCAUAUCUUUUAUCUUCUCCUCCUUAUUUUGUCUCUCUUCUCCUUGUAAAAAUGUAAAAUUGUACUUUUAUUUGGUUUUUAUAUUUAACUUAGUUUUUAUAUUUUUAAUUGUUAUAUAUUUUAUUUUAUUUUUAAAUUUUUUUCUUUAAUUUCAUACCUGUCAUUCUUUUAAUUAUUAUUUUUAAAUUAUUUUUCUAAUUAAAUUUUAUUUUCAAUUUAAUCUUUUAAUUAACAUUUGAUUUCCAAAUAUUUUUAUAUCAAAUUUAGUCACUAUUCUUUAUUAUUAUUAUUAUUAUUAUUAUUAUUAUUAUUUUGUUUUAAAGCCUUUUAUAUUACAUUUUUUUUCAAAUUCAUCCCUUAUUAUUUUAUUAAUUUAUAAUUUUGCUUUUUUAUUUUUUAGAGUUUGUCUUCUAUGUGGUUGGUCCCUAGCUCAUGAGAUUUUUUUAUUGUAUGUUUUUUUACAAAUCUAUCUUACUAUUUUGUUGAAUCUGAUCUAUAUCUUAGGUUUUUUUUUUUAAAUUGAUUUUUUUUUAUCUUUAUACAUUUGAUUUAUUGGAGGUUAGUUUUCAUACCUUUAUUUUUAUUUUUUUACGUUUAAUUAUUUUAAUCUUAUGCUCAUGUUCAUGAUUAUAAGUUUAAUGGGUUGACACGAACAAAAUAAAUAAAUAAAAUUUAACUUAGAAUGUGAAAAAUCUUAAAUAUUCAAUUCAAUAAUACUGAACUAUCAAACAAGUGAAAUAAGACACUAUUCAACACUUCAAGAGCAUCAAACAUCAAGGAAUUUUUUAUGUAUAAAUAUCUAAAAUAAAUUUUAAAUUAUCCGAUUUAUAAUUUUUUUAUUUUAGAUUAAUUUUUUAAUGUUUUUAUAUUAUUUUGAUAUAUAAAUAUCUAAAAUAAAUUUUAAAUAUAAAAAACUAUUUUAAAAUAAAAAAUAUUUUAAAAACAACGUAAACACAUACCAUGGAGAAUUUACAGCAGUGGUUCGUGGAAGAUGCAGCCAACUUUCUCUGCUUAAUGUUCAAUGUAUCUCAUCAGUCCAAAACACGCUUCAUUUCACAGUAUCCUUUUCAUGGAUACAAUGAGUUGCUAGGGAAGAUUAUGUUGUUCACUGGUAAUUUUUUUCCUAUUUCACUAAUAUAAAACGAGAGCCUUGAAGAAGUGGUUGAUGUAUGACUUCAUAUGACAGAUCUGGUGAAUGGGUCAUAAAGUCAAGAGGAUCCAUGUAGCCUUAGAUGAAAUCCUGAAAUUUGGCGGUGAUCUUGGAUUGGCAAAUCGCCCUGAAGUUAGGCGAAUUUAGAAAACUCUUCUAAAGAUUUAAAAAAAAAAACCUUUAGAAUAGUCAAAUCCAAGAUAAAUAAUUUUUCACUAAUUUGAAAGAUUGUAAAAGAAGUAUUUCCCAUCAUAAUAUUUUUAUGUUUAUAUUACCUUGUUAAGACAAUAAAUUACAUUAUAUCUUUUAUAAUAAUAACUUAUUAAUAUAUCUGAUGAUUUUUAAAUUGUUGUUAUCUUAAUUAAAACAUUUAUUUGCUAAUAAUUAAUAUAGAAUUUCUUUCCAGGAGUCUCUAAGCUCUCUGGCUCUUUAGAAUCAUUUUUUUGUAUAAUUUCUUACAUAUUCUGUGUAAAUAUUCUAUGAAAUUUUAUAUAAACUUUUUAGAUGAUUGGGACAUUUAGUUCAAUAUAAUUAAUGCUUUUUAUGGUGUUAGAUGGAACAUGCAUGUUUGGCUAAAGGGUUUUCAUGUAAUUUUAUUUAAUGUUAUAUUAUUUUGAUAUUUUGAUUUUAAAAAUAAAAAUAUAUUUUUCAUAUAUUUUUUUAAAAAUACAAUUAUUAUUUUAAUUUCAAACAUCCUGAAGAAGUGUCAUUUUCUUAUCCUUGCCAUGAUAAAUUUGACAGGAGAGGUUCGUGGAAGAUGCUGCCACCUGAAAUCAAUUAAUGCCAACUGCCCUCUGUUUUAAAGUUGAAUGUAUCUGAUCACCAUUCCAAAACACACUUCAUUUUCUCUUUAAUAUUUCACAGCACACUUCUCUCUUUCCCCAGCUCAAUAUUUCUUCUUUGAUUUCCCCAACAAAAACAAGACAAUAUGGCAGCAGAACUUCUUCUUACGUUUGCCGUGGAGGAGUCCUUGAGAAGGACGAUUUCCAUAGCUGCUGAAGGGAUCGGACUUGCUUGGGGACUGAAUGGACAGCUGCAAAACCUCGUAGAUUCUUUGACCAUGAUUCAAGCUGUGUUGCGAGAUGCAGCAACAAGGCCAGCGAGAGAAGAUGGUGUGAAGCGUUGGCUGGAUAAGCUUCAAGAUGUAGCUCAUGAUGCUGAAGAUGUUCUAGACGAGUUUGAUUAUGAACAGAAGGGAAAGGUAUGUGAUUUUGUUUCACUCCACAACCCUAUUGUAUUCCGUUGGAAAAUGGGUCAUAAAGUCAAGAGGAUCCAUGGAGCCUUAGAUGAAAUCCUGAAACUUGGCGGUGAUCUUGGAUUGGCAAAUCGCCCUCAAGUUAGGCGAGAUCCACCCCGGCAGACAGAUUCCUUCCUUGACAGCUCAGCUGACACCUCAGCAGUUGUAGUAGGAAGGGAGGAUGAUGAAAGUUGUGGAAUGGCUGACCGAAUCCAACAUGUCCUUUCGGUUGUUCCUAUAGUGGGGAUGGCUGGCCUCGGAAAGACUACUAUAGCAAAGAAUGUUUAUAAAGAAGUCAAGGAUAGAAAGCUUUUUGAUGAAACAAUAUGGGUUUGUGUGUCUAAUCAUUUUGAUGAAGUGAAGAUUUUACGAGAAAUGUUGCAAACGAUAGAUAAAACUACGGGGGCGUUGGAGAAUAUUGAUGCAAUUCUUCAAAACCUUAAGAAACAGCUGCAAAAUAAAACAUUUCUUCUUGUUCUCGAUGAUGUGUGGAAUCGUAAUCAAAAUAAAUGGAAUGGUUUGAAGGAUGGGUUGUUAAAAAUUAAAAGCAAAAAUGGGAAUGCUGUUGUUGUUACAACCCGCAUUAAGGAAGUAGCAAGCAUGAUGGAGACUUCUCCUGGGAUUCAGCUCGAGCCAGAAAAACUAUCAGAUGAUGAAUGUUGGUCCAUUAUCAAGCAAAAAUUGAGUGGCGGUGGCGGAGCACCAUUAGCUGCAGACUCGGAAUCUAUUGGAAAAGAGAUUGCAAAGAAAUGUGGGGGGCUUCCAUUGCUUGCUAAUGUUUUGGGAGGAACACUGCGCCAAAAGGAGACAAAGGAGUGGGAGCCAAUUCUAAGCAAUACAUUCUGGCAUUCCACUGAUGGAAAUGAAGCUUUGGAUAUAUUGAGAUUCAGUUUUGAUCACCUGUCAUCUCCAUCACUGAAAAAAUGUUUUGCAUACUGUUCCAUUUUUCCUAAAGAUUUUGAAAUUGAAAGGGAAGAGCUAAUUCAACUUUGGAUGGGUGAAGGUUUUCUUGGGCCAUCAAAUCAGAGGAUGGAAGACAUGGGCAACAAGUAUUUCAAUGACUUGCUUGCAAAUUCCCUUUUUCAAGAUGUUGAAAGGAAUGAGUAUGGGAUGGUAACAAGUUGCAAGAUGCAUGAUCUUGUGCAUGAUCUUGCAUUACAGGUCUCAAAAGCAGAAACGUUAAAUCCAGAGCCGGGUUCGGCUGUUAAUGGUGCAUCUCAUGUUCUUCAUCUCAAUCUCAUUUCUUGUGGGGAUGUUGAGUCAACAUUUCAAGCGGUUGAUGCUAGAAAGUGGCGUACUGUUUUCUCAAUGGUUGAUGUAUUGAAUCAGUCUUGGAAAUUCAAAAGCUUGAGAACUCUCAAAUUGCAACGGUCUAAUAUCACAGAAUUACAAGAUUCAAUUUGCAAGCUGAGACAUUUGAGAUAUCUUGAUGUCUCACAUACAAAUAUCAAAGCAUUACCAGAAUCCAUCACAAAGCUCUACCAUUUGGAAACAUUAAGAUUCACUGAUUGUUUUCAGCUUCAAAAGCUUCCCAGAAAAAUGAGAAAUUUAGUCAGCUUGAGACACCUUCAUUUUAAUGAUAAAAACCUAGUGCCAGCUGAUGUGAGCUUCUUAACACGUCUACAAACCUUGCCAAUCUUCGUUGUGGGUCCAGAUCAUAAAAUUGAAGAGCUGAGAUGUUUGAAUGAGCUAAGAGGAGAAUUGGAGAUAUGGUGUCUUGAGCGAGUGAGAGACAGAGAAGAUGCCGAGAAGGCAAAACUGCGUGAAAAAAGAAUGAACAAAUUGGUGUUUAAAUGGAGUGAUGAAGGUAACAGCAGUGUUAACAUCGAGGAUGUGCUGGAUGCUCUCCAGCCUCACCCAGACAUAAGAAGCUUAACAAUUGAGGGUUACUGUGGUGAAAAGUUCCCAUCAUGGAUGUCUAUGUUGCAGCUCAAUAAUCUGAUGGUCCUGAGAUUGAAAGAUUGCAGCAACUGCAGACAACUCCCAGUACUUGGAUGUUUUUCUCGCCUUGAGAUUCUAGAGAUGAGUGGAAUGCCUAAUGUGAAAUGUUUAGGCAAUGAGUUCUACAGUAGCAGUGGCAGCGGCAGCGAAGAAGUACUGUUUCCAGCACUAAAAGAACUCAAGCUGUUGGGUAUGGAUGGUCUUGAAGAAUGGAUGGUACCGUGUGGAGAAGGUGAUCAAGUAUUUCCUUUUCUCGAAAAGUUGAGCAUUGAGUGGUGUGGCAAGUUGAAAAGCAUUCCGAUAUGUGGUCUUUCAUCUCUUGUAGAAUUUGAAAUUGCAGGAUGUGAGGAACUGAGAUAUUUGUCUGGUGAAUUUCAUGGCUUCACGUCUCUUCAGUUGUUGAGCAUAGAGGGUUGUCCAAAGCUGGCAUCCAUUCCAAGCGUACAACACUACACAGCUCUGGUGAAAUUGGAUAUAGAUGGCUGCCCUGAGUUGAUCUCAAUUCCUGGUGAUUUCCGAGAAUUGAAAUAUUCUUUGAAGAUAUUGUCGAUGUAUAAUUUGAAAUUGGGAGCUCUUUCGAGUGGACUACAAUGUUGCACAUCUCUAGAGGAAUUGUACAUAUGGGAUUGCAGGGAGCUUAUCCAUAUCAGUGAUUUACAAGAAUUGUCUUCCCUUCGAAUAUUAGAGAUUAGAGGUUGUGAUAAGGUCACCAGUAUUGAUUGGCAUGGUUUACGACAAUUGCCUUCUCUUGUUUAUUUAGAAAUCAGUGGGUGUCGGAGUUUGAGUAAUUUCCCCGACGAUGAUUGCUUAGGCGGCCUCACCCAACUGAAGGAAUUGGCAAUCGAUGGUUUCUCAGAGGAGCUGGAGGCUUUUCCUAUAGGAGUUUUAAACUCAUUUCAACACCUCAACUUGUGUGGAUCCCUUGAAAGACUGGAGAUAUAUGGAUGGGAUAAACUGAAGAGUGUACCGCAUCAACUGCAACACCUCACUGCCCUUGAGAGAUUGGAAAUAUAUGAUUUCAGGGGAGAGGGAUUUGAGGAAGCUUUGCCAAAUUGGUUGGCCAACCUUUCUUCUCUUCGAUAUCUUGGGAUUGAUAAUUGUAAGAAUCUUAAGUAUAAAAUUCUAAUCAAUUUAAUCGAUUUUUUUUUACGGUUUGAUUUUUUCAGUUUUUUUUUUUAUUUUCCCAAUUUAAUCAGUUUUUUAAUAUUUUUACUCACCCUAGUUAUUCCUACCACGAUGAUAAAGAACUAUGCAUGAGGUGCUUCAUGGACGAUGACAGAGGCGGAUGCUUAUACUGAAGCCAACAUGUCUGCGAUAUCCAAUGUAUCAACUGACAAUGCACGUCUCUAUAUGUACACAACAGCACGUGUUUUUCUCCCCUCGCUCUCACGUACUAUGGACUUUGCCUCGUGAAUGAGAAUUACACUGUAAAACUUCAAUUUUCUCAGAUUAUUUUCACAGAUGACAAUUCGUUGUAUAGUAUUGGGAACCGUCUCUAUAUAUUCUACUCGAACGUUGAAAGCUCGAACUUGAAAAAUUCCGAUGCUGUAACUGUAUAAAGUAUAAACCAUUCCCCAUAAAAGAGAACUUUGUUUCUGGUAGUUUCUUCCAAUGAGGUCCACUUUGGUGAAGUAGCAUAUUUAAUGCGAGCAUCUAUGACUCUUGUAUUUGCUCAUAGACUACCAAAUUAAUUAAUCAAUUCUCUUAACUUACUAUAUUUUUCUUUGAAGAUUUGAAAUAUUGUCUAUGAAUUCGCCAACUCUUCAACACUUUCCUGCCAACUAGAAUUACUCUGUUCAAUAUUCUCUCUCUUAAAGAUACUGAAAACAGAACAGAACGUUUUCCAUGACAUUUAAGUAUGAAAAACAGGGAAAAACGCAAUGUUCAGUCGCUAUAUUUUAAAAAAAAUAUAUUAAAAAACUAACACACUAAAAAAAUUAAAAAAAUAAAAAAUAAAUAAACAACCAACGCAGGCAAGUAAACAGUGCAAUUCCCAGCACUGUUCGUGUCAACAGUAUAAACGGAAUACUGUUCAUGUAAUUGCACUGUCCAUUGAACAGUGCAAUUAACAUGAACAGUAGAGAAAAAGCAUGAAUUAGCUGCUUCUCAUUUCUCGCGCUAGAAACGCAGAAUUUAAGUGGGGCCCAUGAACAGUAAAAUGCUUUUUUUCUUAACCAAACGGCUGCACGCAGCAUACCCAAACGAACUCUAAGAGAGAUCUCUCUCGGUAUACCAUUGACUUCCAAAUUUCCCUCACCAAAUUUCCUAAACCUUUCUUAUGAUCUGUGCUUCCUUUUUCUGAUUGAAUCGAAUCAUCUCGUUUUGAGUUCUUGAUCUGUAUCUUUCUUGCUUGAAAGGUAAAUCCUACUUUCUUUUCUUGUUUUUCUACCACUAAUUUUGUUUCAAAUAAGAUUUUCCCAUUUGGUUGUAGAAUAAAUAUGUAGGAUUGUAGAUUAAUCAAUCAAGUAGAACUUAAUUAUAUAUGUGUUGCUUGAUCUAUUUUAGAACUCAAAACUCAUAUAUAGCUUUGUUCUUACAUAUUGCCAUCAACUUCAACUACUUAUCUUAAAAACAGCUGCUCUCAAGGUUUCUUUUGUCUGUUGAGUGCCUCUUGUCAGCUUGACAGGUGACUAGUUAGUUUACCUACUCUUUCUCAAAUUCUUGCGCUUACAUUUUCAGAUCAGCUUUUCCGGCAUUUCAACAUUGAGGUGCGUCCACACGUUAACUCACUCAGCAAUUAGCUUCAGAUUCUUUUGAAUCCUGGUACAGUAUUUAUACUUCAUCUUCUUCAUUUUGUUGCUGUUAUCGUUUUUGACAUGUAACUAUUGUUUGAAUCCUUUUUCUGUAGAGUUGAACUGUGUAAGUUUGGUGUUUUAAUAGUUUGACAUGUAACUAUUGUAGAAAUUUUAUUGAGAAACUUUGGAGUUAGGAUCAUCAAUGUUUUCCAAAUAUAAAUAAAUUGAUCUUUCUUUGUUUUUAUAAUCCUUGCCUUAAGGAGUUCAUACCAAAUUCAUUGUUUUUUCUUUUUAUUUAUUCUAGUCUCAACCUUUCCUUUUCCAAUUAAUUUUAUUCAAUAUUUUGACUCUGUUUUAUAUAUAGGGCAAAAUGGUUCAAUCAACUGACCCAUUUUGGCACCAUGUUGAGGAGAUGAAGUGUAUUUAUUGCGGGCGUCAAUUUCCUAACGAUACUUCCAUUUCAAGGAUCAAAUGGCAUUUAUCAGGAGAGAAAGGGCGUGGUGUUGCAAUUUGUGAAAGAGUUCCUAAACAAGUUCAAGAAGCAGCUUUUCAAGCUAUGCAUGGUGCCAACAAAAGACAUAAAAGCAUAGCAAGUUCAAGCAAUGUUAAUGAUAAUGCCAUUUCAACCACUCCACAAGAACAAAACAAUAAUGAAGUCGACAAUUUGGCAGGAGAUGCAGGAGGGACACAAGCAGCGGAUAGAAUGGGUCACCCACCUGGAAGAAGUGUGGAAGAGUUCAGUAGAUGGUUAAUGGAGG